GCUGAUGCUGACGGUGAUGCCGAUGGUGUGAGCUGGAAAUGGGGUGCUACGUCAUCGUUGUCAUCGUCAUCAUCAUCAUC
rfam:Callithrix jacchus chromosome 13, whole genome shotgun sequence